UACGAAGGGGGCUAGCGUUGCUCGGAACCACUGGGCGUAAAGCGCACGUAGGCGGAUCUUUAAGUCAGGGGUGAAAUCCUGGAGCUCAACUCCAGAACUGCCUUUGAUACUGGGGAUCUCGAGUCCGGAAGAGGUGAGUGGAACUCCGAGUGUAGAGGUGAAAUUCGUAGAUAUUCGGAAGAACACCAGUGGCGAAGGCGGCUCACUGGUCCGGUACUAGACGCUGAGGUGAGAACGGAGGGAGCAAACAGGGAUUAAGA
rnacentral:rRNA from 1 species